UUUUCUCGGAGAGUGAAAAUGUUCCCAGCUGUGUGGACUACGCAAGCGCGAAGCUAAAUGGCUCCUGGUCCCUCUUCUAUUUUGCUGUUUUUCCAUGUGGCAAACAUUCCUUCUUCACCUGCUUCUAAUGGGGCUGAAAUACAUGACUUCCUUAUUUGUUUAUGAAGCUUAUGCGUGAUAUCAGAAUGGCUCUGAGAAUAGUAGUUGAUAGACGAUGAAUCCGGGCUUCCCCUCUUUGUGAGCGCUGUAAAAAUGGUGCCUGUGUUUUGUUGAGGAGUGGACUCUUCCUUUAAGGAAAAAAUGAGGAUAUGGGGAAUGUUUGUUCCCUAACAGACUUCAGACAUUUUAAGUGACUGAUUGCGCAGCCUUAAUGUUGCACUGAAUUGGACUUGUUUUUUCUAAUUUAAUGAUGUAUUUAAAGAGGAACUUCAAGAAAGAGAAAUGCAAACCACCUGCUGUUGAGGCUCUCAUUUAAAAACAAAAACCCUACUAAUUGUAAUUACUAAAAUUCCUAAUUAAAGCCAUCAUUCAUGUCCAUAGAACUACUCACAGUCUUAUGUACCUAACUGAUUUGGAGCCUAAAGGAAUAAUUUCUCUGAAUGUGAGCACUAGAUCUGCUUCUCUCCAGCCUAUGGAAUCCUACAACAAGACAGUAAAGCUCCAAGCAAACCAAUGCUACUCUAUUGAAUGAAAUCUUGGGUUGAUUUGAGUGACUUAAACAAUCUUUGUCAGAAUUAAAACUUGGAGAGACAAGUGUCCUGCUCUAGUGUAUGCUGGCUGUGACAAUGCAAGCGUAGUGUGUGCUUGGACAUCUCAGAGAAGGAAUCUACAAUCCACAACUACAAAAGGGAUCUAAGAAACAAAAAACUAAUCAAGGAAAAACACCUGCGGUUUGAAUGCUGAGGCUUUGACAUCAAAACGUCUUCUCAGAGGUGCACAGCCUUAUUCCUGAGGAAGUUCUUUUGAUCCACCAAUGUCUGUACAUUUGAAAAUCUGGUUCUGAGCAUAUACAGUAGAUAGGUUCGUUAAGAUCAUUGAGUGACCCUAAGGAAGGCUGAUCAAGAUGUGCAUACCCAACACUGUUAGCUUCACAGUGAACUGUCUAGUUCCCUGUGCUAGAGUUCUGGCAAGAGCUCCUGUUGAGACUGUAUGUUAUACUGAGUCUUAGCCAAGGACCCCAGCUAACACUGUACAUGCAUUAUUGUUCAGCAAAUGACAUGAUUACAUUCUGUCUCAAAUAUAUAACCUUUCCUACAACCUUGCAUAUGCAAAUGUGCCACGAAAUAUAAGAGUAGGAGGAAAGGUGUCCUGCCAUUUAUAAUGGUUUAAAAUUACGUUAACUUUCAUUCACUGUAGCACUCAGCAACAUUUCAAGAAACUACUUCUUGAUAUUUAAAAAAGUACUUACUACAUAACAAUAUUAGGUAUUUAACACCUAGGAGGGAAAACAGAUACUUAUGGGAAAAUUCAGUUUUUUAUUUACUUAGAAAUAUAUUGGUAAGAUUUGAAACAGUAAUGUAUAAGGACAAAAUUCUACAAAGAAAUUCUCACUCGUUAAAAAGACAUGAUUAUAUUAAAGAACAUGCAUCUAGUAUUAAGAUAAAGUAAUUUACUUCCUUAAGAAAGUUUGAGGAUAGGUCACAUGAAAACUACAGAGAAGUGAUACUUAAGACUGUUAAAAAAGAAAAUCAAACAAAUGUUAAUGCAAUGGUGUACAUGUUUUUCUGUUGGAUUAAAAAAAACUCCAGCCACAUACAGUAUUAAGAGAUACAUCUAGAAAAGAAAAAAAUCCUCCUAAACAUAUGGUGAUGGAGGGAAACCACUGCAAUAGACUGUUGAGAGAAGAGAACUGAUCAGUUAGAGCCUGAUCCAAAGCCUGCUGAAGUCAUAGGAUGUCUUCAGAUUGACUUUCAUGGUGUAGGCUUUGAAUUCAGUGAUCGUUGCCAAAUGCUGAGCACCUUUGAAGAUUAUACUCUAAAUCAAUAGAUGUAUUGGACCAUUAUAACUAUGAAAUUAAUGAAAACAUUACAAGAUGCUACACUUGCACUUAAAUCUAUUAAAUUUUAUUUUUUGAGCAAUAGUGUAUGAUUGCACAAAGACUGUUGUAAUGCAUCAGCACAACAGAGCAUGUGCAGACUUAGCCAUUUCCUUAUUUUGGUGUGCUUAACUGCAUCCCUAAUAUUCUCAGUGUAAC